CGUGUAGGUGGCUUGGAAAGUUGGGUGUGAAAGCCCGGGGCCCAACCCCGGAAUUGCACUCAAAACUUCCUCGCUAGAGUCUCGGAGAGGAAAGCGGAAUUCCCGGUGUAGAGGUGAAAUCCGUAGAUAUCGGGAGGAACACCAGUGGCGAAGGCGGCUUUCUGGACGAUGACUGACACUGAGACGCGAAAGCGUGGGGAGCAAACA
rnacentral:rRNA from 1 species